GAGCAGCCUUCCCGGAAGCCGUGCAGCUGAAGGAGUAGCUAACUCUACCCAGACAUCUGACGAAUUCAAGUGAUGCUUCAGAAGAAAGGACGACUCAUCCCUCUUUGCCUCUCUCCUCGCGUCUCUCCCGUGCCUCCUCGGUGGGAGGGACUAAGACGUGAGGAAUGCAGGCAAGUGGAGGACUCGAGGAGGCAAUUUAAGCAACAUGAGAUGCACCUUAUAUCUCCAA